rnacentral:lncRNA from 1 species
UUUAAAAAUGGCAGUUUCCCCUGCGCUUUUUCUCUCUCCUGUGCCUUGUGAAGAAAGUGCCUGCUUCGCCUUCACCUUCGGCCAUGAUUAUAAUCCUCUCUCCACAACUUGAUAAUGCACAAACUGCAAAUCUUCUGGUACUCACUGCUGCAAGCAAACUUGAAGUCUUUCUGAGCCUGACUCUUCAUUCCUGCCUUGUGUGACCCAGGGAUGGAGGACUGCCCUCCCAACUCAUUAUCCUCUUUGCCCAGGAGCUCCAUCCUGUUGCCAUCUGCUAAAAUCCUCAGCCCACCUGCAUAGUGAACAGCAUUCAUUGUUUUCCAGAAAUGUGCAAGAACCACAGUCUCCCCCAAGACUGAAGGUAACAUCAGGAAGCAUACUAUGUAAGACAGAUACAAAGGGGAGCUGCUGUAUGGAGAAACAAGACUGCCAGCUUCCCCUCCUGACUCAGAACAGUCUUCAUCGCCUUGAGUUUGGGUCAUGCUAUUCUUGGAUUUUCAUCUUCCCCUCGACGCCCACUCCUUCUUCAUUAAAGAAAGUCCUCAAGUAUCCACAAAAGAAUUCUUUAAGCCCUUCUCCCAAAAUAAAUGUGGUCAUUUUGAAAACAAACAAAAAAUGGAAAAGCUCCUGGAAAAAUGAAUUAAUCAUAACAAAAAUAAAAUUUGACAUGAGAAAGAAAAUUUAAAAAGAGAAGAUAAUUUUGUUUAAAUUAGCAAAUAAUACCAUUUCUAAUAAAUGCAAAUAAAUUUAAAAAUACAAAUGUAAUGAGCAAUAUCCAAAAAUGUUAAUUAUCAAAAUGGCCCAGGAGAAAUCUGAGACCCUUUAAAGUAAUUGGG